AAUUCUCAACUUCAAAACUUUGUUUUUGAUAGCUUGGAUGUUGGAGGUUUUGCAGGCGAUAAUAUGAUUGUCAGCUCCUCUUAAAUGCAUUAGCAGAACUUGAAAAGGAUCGGCUUUGGUUUGAUAAAUGCUAUCUAUGCCAUCGCUGGAACAAUUGUAUAGUUCAGCUUAUAAUUGUCCUUAGGGACUGUCUCUCGUAGACAUUCAUUUAA
rnacentral:misc_RNA from 1 species